rnacentral:rRNA from 1 species
AUUGAACGCUGGCGGAAUGCUUUACACAUGCAAGUCGAGCGGCAGCACGGGGGCAGCCCUGGUGGCGAGUGGCGAACGGGUGAGUAAUACAUCGGAACGUGCCCGGUCGUGGGGGAUAACGUAGCGAAAGUUACGCUAAUACCGCAUACGAUCUGAGGAUGAAAGCGGGGGACCUUCGGGCCUCGCGCGAUCGGAGCGGCCGAUGUCAGAUUAGGUAGUUGGUGGGGUAAAGGCCUACCAAGCCGACGAUCUGUAGCUGGUCUGAGAGGACGACCAGCCACACUGGGACUGAGACACGGCCCAGACUCCUACGGGAGGCAGCAGUGGGGAAUUUUGGACAAUGGGCGCAAGCCUGAUCCAGCCAUUCCGCGUGCAGGACGAAGGCCUUCGGGUUGUAAACUGCUUUUGUACGGAACGAAAAGGCUCUGGCUAAUACCUGGGGCCCAUGACGGUACCGUAAGAAUAAGCACCGGCUAACUACGUG